rnacentral:sRNA from 1 species
ACCAGGCAUGGUGGUAUGUGCCUGUAGUCCAGUUACUCAGUGGGCUGAGGCAGGAGGAUUGCUUAUGCCCAGGAAUUUGGGGCCAGCCUGGGCCACAUAGUAAAACCCUGUCUCUU